rnacentral:tRNA from 3 species
AGUCCUGUAGUGUAGUGGUCAAUCAUGCUGGCCUUUGGAGCCGGUGACCUCGGUUCGAAUCCGGGCAGGACUACCA